GACGAACGCUGGCGGCGGGCUUAACACAUGCAAGUCGAACGGAAAGGCCCUGCUUUUGUGGUGUGCUCGAGUGGCGAACGGGUGAGUAACACGUGAGUAACCUGCCCUUGACUUUGGUAUAACUUCAGGAAACUGGGGCUAAUACCGUAUAGGAGCUCCUGCUGCAUGGUGGGGGUUGGAAAGUUUCGGCGGUCGGGGAUGGACUCGCGGCUUAUCAGCUUGUUGGUGGGGUAGUGGCUUACCAAGGCUUUGACGGGUAGCCGGCCUGAGAGGGUGACCGGCCACAUUGGGACUGCGAGACGGACCAGACUGCUACGGGGGGCAGCGGUGGGGAAUAUUGCCCAAUGGGCGGAAGCCUGAUGCAGCAACGCCGCGUGCGGGAUGACGGCCUUCGGGUUGUAAACCGCUUUCGCCUGUGACGAAGCGUGAGUGACGGUAAUGGAUAAAGAAGCACCGGCUAACUACGUG
rnacentral:rRNA from 1 species